rnacentral:rRNA from 1 species
UACGAAGGGUGCAAGCGUUGUUCGGAUUCACUGGGCGUAAAGGGUGCGCAGGUGGGUUUGCAAGUUCGAUGUGAAAGCCCCGGGCUUAACCCGGGAAUGGCAUUGGAUACUGCAGAUCUGGAGGAUCGGAGGGGGGACUGGAAUUCUUGGUGUAGCAGUGAAAUGCGUAGAUAUCAAGAGGAACACCAGUGGCGAAGGCGAGUCCCUGGACGAUACCUGACACUGAGGCACGAAAGCUAGGGGAGCAAACAGG